rnacentral:rRNA from 1 species
CUACGGGUUGCAGCAGUGGGGAAUAUUGGACAAUGGGGGAAACCCUGAUCCAGCAAUGCCGCGUGUGUGAAGAAGGCCUGCGGGUUGUAAAGCACUUUCGGUUGGGAGGACUGCUUCUAGCACUAAUAUUGUUGGAAGUUGACGUUACCUUCAGAAGAAGCACCGGCUAACUCCGUGCCAGCAGCCGCGGUAAUACGGGAGGGUGCAAGCGUUAAUCGGAAUUACUGGGCGUAAAGCGCGCGUAGGCGGCUAGAUCAGUCGGGUGUGAAAGCCCCGGGCUUAACCUGGGAACUGCAUCCGAUACUGGCUAGCUUGAGUACAGGAGAGGAGAGUGGAAUUCCAUAUGUAGCGGUGAAAUGCGUAGAUAUGUGGAGGAACACCAAUGGCGAAGGCAGCUCUCUGGCCUGAUACUGACGCUGAGGUGCGAAAGCGUGGGGAGCAAACAGGAUUAGAUACCCCAGUAGUC